CCCGCCCCCCACCAGCUGCCAGGGAGGCGGGUACAAGGGACUGCGGGUACAGGCCGGUACAGGGCCCAAGGCAGUCUCAGGGGCCGGCUCCCUGGGAGCCCCAGCAUCCUGCGCAGCCUCCUAGCAGCCCUGAGAUGCAGGGAUGAGACCAAGAUCCCUUCAUUCAGAUGAGCAUUCACUGAGCCUAGACUCUGUGUCAGACAGAGGCCUCAAGGAGUUCAGAGUCUAGAGGGAGAGACCAGCAGACACCGUGCUUGGUACCUAACGUGGACCCUGCCCUCAUGAGCUCACAAUCUGCUGAACAAAGAGAACUAGGCAAUUAGAACAGAGGGUGUUGGCCAGCAGAGCUGAGGGAACAAGAGGAGAGUCAGCCGAUUCAAGGAAAGUGUACCAGUUAAGCUUGGAUUUGGCUGUACAUCACAAAAAACCCCAAAGCACAGUCAUUGCAACCAGUUAGAAGUCUGGAAGAUGGCUGUGCAAGCUCUGGCCUUGACGGUUGCAUUCCAGUCAAUCCCAAGGAGGAACGUGUGAAAGCAGCACACUCUGCCUUUAAAAACAGUUCUUGGGGAUUUCCCUGGCUGUCCAGUGGUUAAGACUCAGAGCUUCCAAUGGAGGGGGGCACAGGUUUGAUCUCUGGUCGGGGAACUAAGUCCUUUUAUUCAGUUCAUGAGGUUCUCACUGCUAGUAUC